UACAGAGGGCUCAAGCGUUGUUCGGAUUCAUUGGGCGUAAAGGGUGCGUAGGUGGUCAUGUAAGUCUAAUGCGAAAUCUCGGGGCUCAACCCCGAGAUUGCAUCGGAUACUGCGUGACUAGAGGACUGUAGAGGAGAUUGGAAUUCACGGUGUAGCAGUGAAAUGCGUAGAUAUCGUGAGGAAGACCAGUUGCGAAGGCGAAUCUCUGGGCAGUUCCUGACACUGAGGCACGAAGGCCAGGGGAGCAAACGGG
rnacentral:rRNA from 1 species